rnacentral:snRNA from 15 species
AAACUUACCUGGCCCGGGUUCAGGGUGAUCAAGAAUGCUCUGUCCCCGUGUGGGUUGAAACUCGCGAUUGUUUUAGGGCGUGUAGUUUUUGUCAUUGCGGGGGCCUUAUGGCCCUCCCAGU